GACGCAUUUAAUUAUUAUACGUUUUGUUACAUUGCAUCAAACACGGAAGUCAUGGAUACCUAAAUUUUAUAGAUGCACGCAGACACAAAAAUACGACUAAAAAUACAUAAGGCACAUUGUUUGACAUCAUACAAAGCAUGUCGUGUCAAACAAUUAUACAUUAUCUUGGCGAAUUAGUACAUUGGACUGAACUAAUUGUUUAUACUGGAUAGCUCCAUCAAUGUCCACAGUAUAUACUUCUUAUAUUUUACCUACCUCUAAAGACAGCUCUGCUUCGGUUGUGUUCCUUGCCGGAAUGUCUACCGUGAAUUUCUUUUACACAGCCCAUCUCAGUUUCCAUUUAUCUCCACUCUCAUGUCUCCCUAUACACCAUCUCAACCUUGUUUCCCUCGCCUUCUCUGUAAUGCCUAUCCGCUAACAUCUUCUUCCGAUUUCUCCAUUUCAUAAUGUGUCUGACCAGCUCCCCUUCAUCUUUUCUUAUUACAUGUCCAUACCAUCUCAGCCUUGCUUCCCUAGCUUCUCUGCAAUGUCUACCACCCCAUAUCUUCUGAUAUCUUCAUUUCAUAAUGUCUCUGACCAGCUCCCCUUCAUCUCUUCUUAUAUUACUGACAUGUCCAUACCAUCUCAAUCUUGCUUCCCUCGCUCGCUUCUCUGUAAUAUCUACCACCCCAUACUUUUCUGAUCUCUUCAUUUCAUAAUGUCUCUGACCAGCUCCCCUUCAUCUUUUCUUAUAUUACUGACAUGUCCAUACCAUCUCAGUCUUGCUUCCCUCGCUCUCUGUAAUGUCUACUACUCCAUAUCUUCUGAUAUCUUCAUUUCAUAAUGUCUCUGAUCAGCUCCCCUUCAUCUCUUCUUAUAUUACAUGUCCAUACCAUCUCAGCCUUGCUUCCUUCACUUCUCUGCAAUAUCUACCACCCCAUAUCUUCUGAUAUCUUCAUUCCAUAAUGUCUCUGACCAGCUCUCCUUCAUCUCUUCUUAUUACAUGUCCAGUUAUGUCCAUACCAUCUCAACCUUGCUUUCCCUCACCUUUUUUGCAAUGUCUACUACCCCAUAUCUUCUGACCUCUUCAUUCCAUAAUGUCUCUUACCAGCUCUCCUUCAUCUCUUCUUAUUACAUGUUCAUACCAUCUCAGCCUUGCUUCUCUCGCCUUCUCUGCAAUGUCUACCACAUCACAUUUUCUCUGAUUUCUUCGUGUCAUCUUGUCCUUCAGAAAAAAACUCCCCGGAUUCGAAUCUCAGUAUACUUCUCGUCAGAUCUCGUGCAUGUCAAAUCGAAAGGCGACAUCGUACAUGAUAGAGUAAAAAUUGCCUGUGACUGUGUGCAUGCGUAAAAAUAUCACAGCUUGCCAACAGAUAUGUUCGCACUGCUUGUUCUCAGUUGUUGUGACAAGUCUGAAAAAAGUUGUCGUCAUCUUGUAACUUCGCAACAAGUUGUUCCAGCAAGUCUGAUGUCGUCUGCACGUAACAAGUUGUUAACAACAAGCUUACGAAUAGCUUGUAAUAGUCUUGUUGGAACAACUUGUAGCAAAUCUGUUACCGUCAUCAACCUUGUAACAAGGUGAUAACAACUUGUUCCAGACUUGUCACAACAACUGGGAACAAGCAUUGCGAAUACGUCCUGAUAUCGGCUUGACAACAACCUUGUUACAACUUGUGUGCAGGUCUGUAAUAACUUGCGCGUUUUUACGCGUGCAACAGAUUCGGCUACUGACCGACGAAGGGACUUCGCUCGAAUGGUCAAUGUUCUAAAUAUAUUUUUCAAGUAGUUGUCUCAGCCACAGCUAUAUCUCACAUAUAAAUAUCCAAUAUCAAAGGCGCCCAGAUUGUAAUUCAACGCACAACAUGCGACGAGAAUCAAUAACCA
rnacentral:lncRNA from 1 species